rnacentral:rRNA from 1 species
UACAGAGGGGGCAAGCGUUGUUCGGAAUUACUGGGCGUAAAGGGCGCGUAGGCGGCCUGUUAAGUCGAACGUGAAAUCCCCGGGCUCAACCCGGGAACUGCGUCCGAUACUGGCAGGCUUGAAUCCGGGAGAGGGAUGCGGAAUUCCAGGUGUAGCGGUGAAAUGCGUAGAUAUCUGGAGGAACACCGGUGGCGAAGGCGGCAUCCUGGACUACUACUGACGCUGAGUGAGCGAAAGCCAGGGGAGCAAGCGGG